UACGAAGGGGGCUAGCGUUGUUCGGAAUUACUGGGCGUAAAGCGCACGUAGGCGGACUACUAAGUCAGGGGUGAAAUCCCGGGGCUCAACCCCGGAACUGCCUUUGAUACUGAUAGUCUCGAGUCCGGAAGAGGUGAGUGGAAUUCCGAGUGUAGAGGUGAAAUUCGUAGAUAUUCGGAGGAACACCUGAGGUGAAGACGGGUUGCUGGGCCGACACUGACGCUGACAGCGCGAAAGCCAGGGGAGCAAACGGG
rnacentral:rRNA from 1 species